AUUUUUAGAGUUUUUGUUCACACCCGAUUUCUAUAAACCAGUCUUAUGUAUGUGAACCUGCAUUGUGGCUGAUUCUUUUACAUGUUUUUGUCGACUAUGGCGGUGGUAAGGUCGAAUAGAUUAUCGAUUUUGGGUGACUUUGGUCUCUGCGGUGAGACGUCAAUCUCACUUUCUCUUCUUUCAAUUUUCAUUCCCUUCAAUCUCCCGAAUUUCAUGAUCUAAUAUCACUCUUUGUGCUCAUUUCACUCUCUCUCUCUCUCUCUCUCUCUCUAGCUCUCUCAUUACAGUUUUGGAUUUGGUUCUCUCUGAUGUUUCACUUCCUUUGACCUCUUUAUGGGCUCCUUUCAGUAUUUUGUGUGUGUUUGGUUUGAAUAUGUUUCAGGGCCUUUGAAUGUGAUUGCUCUCAGGCAACUAAAAAUUGUUGUUCUCAGGAUGCAGAGUCGUCAAUGUUCGUGUUCGACCAUGGAGCUUGACUGCGUGGAGAAUAGGACAGCAUAAAGUGAAGUCAAAUCAUGCUGCAGAGGAUCCAAUUUGGCAACUUCUCUCUGGCUGCAAAAAAUAGCUGAUCUGAGGAUGCAGAGUUGAGGCUGCAAGAUAUUAGUGUGUCUGACCAAAGUUUCCUGUCACGACACGGAGAAUGGGACAACUCAGAGGUGAGGUUGAGAUCCAAACCAUAACCUUCAUUCGAUCAUAAACACUAGCACAUGUACCCUGCAGAGUUGAAGAAGCCAGAGGUGGCAAAGAAAUUUCAAAUCCCUCCAGCAUUCUUCUCCAGUUUUCCUUCAUCGUCGUCCACACCGGUUAUUACUGGGAGAAGACUGGACAUUGCAACUUAAUGGAGUCUGUUGGAGAGAUCAAUUGUAAUUGAAAAUGAGUAUUUAAAGGUUUAUUUUCUCAUUGGCUUAAAACCACUGUUAAAUGCUAUAUUUGUAAUUUGUAUUAGUUAGAAUUGCUCUUUGUGCAGUCUAAAAGGGAAGUCCUAGAAAUGGAUGAAUUGUUUCAAGUGAAGGGUUGUGAAACUCUGUAUGCUAUUUGUGAUUAUGCUUUAAUAAAUUAACAGAAAAUUUGCUCCAUUAGAGGGAACCUUCAAAAAAUUAGAGCAUUGCAUGGGUAGUCCUCUAAUUCCUUCAUCUUUUCUAUUUUUUUCACUACGUUCAAUAUGUGUUUGUUUUGUUGAUCUUCGAUAGCUCUCUAGGCUCUAGCAACUUGAUCUAAGACGUUUGGUGAGGUUAAAAUGGAGGCCCCUUAUGUCACUCCCUUUGCCUUUUGUCUUUUUGCUUAUAUUGUAACCUGUUAAUACUUUAGACUAAAUGGAAAGAAGAUUAAGCUUGCGAUUGAGACCCAUCAUGGUUUUAAUAAGGUUCAAGUCCUUUUUUUCCCAAUUCAAUUGUGGUGUCCAAGGUUUGAUAAUGAUUUUUCAUUGGUUGUUUAUGCAUUGUUGGUUGAGCUAUGGUUGAAACAUGUGAGGAAAAUGAACCACAAAUGUUCCUGAUGAAAGACUAGAUAAAAUAGUCUUUGGAAUUAGAAGGAGUAAGUUAAUAUUGGUAGGUGAGUCUAAAGAGAUAUAGUUGCUAUAGAUGAUGAAGAAUCACUAAAAGUGAUUAAUUUGUAACAAGUGAGAGACAUUAAAAGUUAUUAAUUUGUAACAUAUGAGAGAUAUUAAAAGUGACUAAUUUGUAAUUUGUGUGGAAAAUCAUUAAAAGUGAUUAUUUUAUAAUGGAUGAGAGACAUUAAAAGUUAGUAUUAAUUUGUAACAGAUGAUAGGUGAUAAGUGCCAAUUUUACGUAGUUUUCCAUUGUUAUUAAGGCACUUAUCUAUGUGAUUUAUGGAAAUUAUCUUGCAAAUUGACUCUCUUUUGAUUAGAAUGUGUUUAAAUGGAGAUCCAAUCUCAAUUGUUGUUGUAGGGACAUGAAUCUAGUGAAGAGAUGAAGAUUUGGUGAAAAGAUAAAGAGUUUUGGAAGGUUUGGGAAAAAUCAGCUGAGCCCUUUAAAAACCAGCUGAGCUCCUUUUUCCUGUCAGAAAAGGGCUGAGCGGCCAAGAAAUGGGCUGAGCGUCUUCAAGGCGGUUAAAGAAAACCCAUCCCUAAAGUAACAGGGCGCUGAGCGGCCAGAAAAGGGGCUGAGCGGUCGUGCCAGAUUUGCCAUUUAAAAGGAAAUUUUAAAGCAGAACAGAGGAGAACUUCUGGGACCAUAACUGAAAUCCACAACUUAGGGAAAGAUAGAACUCGAAGGAGAGCAUCAAGGGAGGUAUAGGAGACUUGGGAGAAGGCUUUGGAGUCAAUUUCAUCGUCGGGGAACCGUCACGUAUUCGGUUUUUCAUCGUUCUUCUUCUCUUUUAUGAUUGUAAAUCUAUCCAUGGACAUGGAUAGCUAAUUUCUCAUUUGUUGGGAUUAGAACUAGUUGUUUUGAUGCUCAUGUAAUCUAUUUGAUUUCCUUUCAUGCAAAUUUCAUGUUUCUAUGCCAAAUAAUCAAUGGUUUUCUC